ACUCCUACGGGAGGCAGCAGUAAGGAAUAUUGCGCAAUGGGCGAAAGCCUGACGCAGCGACGCCGCGUGGGGGAUGAAGGUCUUCGGAUUGUAAACCCCUUUCGGGAGGGAAGAUGGAGCGAGCAAUCGUUCGGACGGUACCUCCAGAAGCAGCCACGGCCAACUUCGUGCCAGCAGCCGCGGUAAUACGAAGGUGGCAAGCGUUGUUCGGAUUCACUGGGCGUACAGGGUGUGUAGGCGGUUUGGUAAGCCUUCUGUUAAAGCUUCGGGCCCAACCCGGAAAGCGCAGAGGGUACUGCCAGGCUAGAGGGUGGGAGA
rnacentral:rRNA from 1 species